rnacentral:rRNA from 1 species
GGCCCCCUACGGGGCGCAGCAGUGGGGAAUAUUGCACAAUGGGGGAAACCCUGAUGCAGCGACGCCGCGUGAGUGAAGAAGUAUUUCGGUAUGUAAAGCUCUAUCAGCAGGGAAGAAAAUGACGGUACCUGACUAAGAAGCCCCGGCUAACUACGUGCCAGCAGCCGCGGUAAUACGUAGGGGGCAAGCGAUAUCCGGAUUUACUGGGUGUAAAGGGAGCGUAGACGGCAGAGCAAGUCUGAAGUGAAAGCCCGCGGCACACCUGCGGGACGGCUUUGGAA